rnacentral:rRNA from 1 species
AGUGAACGCUGGCGGUAGGCCUAACACAUGCAAGUCGAACGGCAGCACAGUAAGAGCUUGCUCUUACGGGUGGCGAGUGGCGGACGGGUGAGGAAUACAUCGGAAUCUACUUUUUCGUGGGGGAUAACGUAGGGAAACUUACGCUAAUACCGCAUACGACCUACGGGUGAAAGCAGGGGAUCUUCGGACCUUGCGCGAUUGAAUGAGCCGAUGUCGGAUUAGCUAGUUGGCGGGGUAAAGGCCCACCAAGGCGACGAUCCGUAGCUGGUCUGAGAGGAUGAUCAGCCACACUGGAACUGAGCCACGGUCCAGACUCCUACGGGAGGCAGCAGUAGGGAAUCUUCCGCAAUGGGCGAAAGCCUGACGGAGCAACGCCGCGUGAGUGAUGAAGGUCUUCGGAUCGUAAAACUCUGUUAUUAGGGAAGAACAUAUGUGUAAGUAACUGUGCACAUCUUGACGGUACCUAAUCAGAAAGCCACGGCUAACUACGUG